UGUGCCAGCUCACCUGGAGCACUGCGCUCACGUAUGGAGUCAGCACUGCAAGGAGCUGUUGGAGCACAGCCAGAGCAGGGCUGCAGAAUGAGCCCAGGGGUGGAACAGCUCUGCUACAGGAUGGGCUGAGGGAGCUCAGCAUCUGCAGCCUGGAGAAAAGGAGGCUGAGAGGACACACAGCCCUCAGAACCGCAGCACUUGGCCCUCUUGGAGAAGACGUGGUGACAUGGCAGCGUGGCAGUGGCAUCACAGUGACAUGGCAGUAGCCCCCUUGGAGGUACACACAGCUCACCACCACCUCGGGGCUGCGACAGCAAACAGCAGCCUGCCCUGAGGGUGCAGCCAUGCAACAGAGCUGCUCACAGCACCUCAAACGUCUGUGAUGUGGAGGCUGGGAAGGAGUCAUUUCAUGUGGGCUGGCUACAGCAGGAAUGUCUGUUUGAUCCUAGCAGUGCUGCUGGGUCUCUGGAUGUUUGAGGUCUUCAUCAAAGGCCUGACUUCCAAAGUAGUCUCAUGUCGCUUCAUUUGCAUUUUGAAAAGAGUAAUUUUCCUGUCUUCAUAAGUUGAGGAGCAAUAUUGAACAGUUUUAAAGGAGCAGCUCCAACUCCCCAAAACAUCAGAAUCCAGAAAACAAAAAUGAAAUGAGUUGAUUGUAAAAGCUUUUGAAUUACGAGUUAAAGUCACUGUUUGUAGAGGACACAGACCCUUAAUUUCAGGGAGUAAUGAGUGCAGUCUCUGAAAUCAGAACAGAAAGCUGCUGUUUAAUUCGUGCUCGAGGACUAUCUCAUCACCCAGUGUCCCACAGAUUCAGGGCAGACUGCAGCAGAUCUUGAUAAACCAGCCUUUAUGCAGUGCAAGAGAACAAUAUUGAAUGGAAGUCUUGUACCACGAGCAUAAGGGGAAGUCAUGGGGGGGAGGAGGGGAAGAGAUUGAAUGAAGAGCUAUUCAUUGCCUUGUGGUGAGAUGAAGGGUUAAUAAGCACUUGUUAGAUCUCCAUAAAAUACACUUAGCUUUUAGCACACACAAGGUAAGUUAUGAAUGAGUGAAAAAAAUUUCAUUUUUUCACUCUUUUUCCUUUUUGAAAUCAAUUUCUGUUCAUCUAAUGCAUAUAUAUAUGUAUGUAUAUAAAGGUGUAAGACUGCUGGUAGUUGUAAUUCAAACAACAAUUCAGGUAUGUGCUGUGUUUCUUCCAUUACUUCACAUCACAGAGACAGGCAGCCAUGAUGCUGGAAUGGCAGGAUCUUUAAAGCAUUUCUCUGCAAUCAUUUCACACCUUUACAACUUAUCAUCUCAUCCUUUCCUUUGCCAAUAAAACAGUGUUCUCAACAUUUCCCAGCCUGUCAGGGCUGCAGUCUCAGGAAAGACAGACUGGCACCGCUUUAUCUUGGACGGCUCUUCCUGAUGUGCCCAGUGUGUCCCCCUCAGUCACCUGGCCUGGCUCAGCAGGUUGGACAUCAGUCAUCACCACUCAAUAGGCCGUUCCACUGGUUGCUCAUUGACAGCCACAAAACUCACACUUAACGCGAUGAUUCGAACUUCUCUGACUUCAGCCUUCAAGCAGUGCUUCUUAUUUUGCCCUUCCCUGCUGAACCAACCACUCCUUUACAGUAUUCAACAUGCUAAUCAAGCCAUGGCUUAAUCCUCUUUCUGAUCAAAUAAACAGAUCAAGCACUUCAAA